GGGCCUGUAGCUCAGUGGUUAGAGCGGCCGGCUCAUAACCGGUUGGUCGCAGGUUCAAGUCCUGCCGGGCCCA
rnacentral:tRNA from 1 species